rnacentral:rRNA from 1 species
UACUGGGCGUAAAGCGAGCGCAGACGGUUACUUAAGCAGGAUGUGAAAUCCCCGGGCUCAACCUGGGAACUGCGUUCUGAACUGGGUGACUAGAGUGUGUCAGAGGGAGGUAGAAUUCCACGUGUAGCAGUGAAAUGCGUAGAGAUGUGGAGGAAUACCGAUGGCGAAGGCAGCCUCCUGGGAUAACACUGACGUUCAUGCUCGAAAGCGUGGGUAGCAAACAGGAUUAGAUACCCUGGUAGUCCACGCCCUAAACGAUGUCAAUUAGCUGUUGGGCAACUUGAUUGCUUAGUAGCGUAGCUAACGCGUGAAAUUGACCGCCUGGGGAGUACGGUCGCAAGAUUAAAACUCAAAGGAAUUGACGGGGACCCGCACAAGCGGUGGAUGAUGUGGAUUAAUUCGAUGCAACGCGAAGAACCUUACCUGGUCUUGACAUGUACGGAAUCCUCCAGAGACGGAGGAGUGCCUUCGGGAACCGUAACACAGGUGCUGCAUGGCUGUCGUCAGCUCGUGUCGUGA